rnacentral:rRNA from 1 species
GACGUAGGGCGCGAGCGUUGUCCGGAUUUAUUGGGCGUAAAGAGCUCGUAGGCGGCUCGUUGCGUCGGCUGUGAAAACCCGCAGCUCAACUGUGGGCUUGCAGCCGAUACGGGCGGGCUGGGAUUCGGUAGGGGAGACUGGAAUUCCUGGUGUAGCGGUGAAAUGCGCAGAUAUCAGGAGGAACACCGGUGGCGAAGGCGGGUCUCUGGGCCGAUAUUGACGCUGAGGAGCGAAAGCGUGGGGAGCGAACGGG